GUGAGGACUGCUUGUUGGACAAGCUGCUGAAGAUCCUCUGCUACCUGACUCUCUGGAUAAGAGGAGGGAUUUUCUUUAGUUUUCCAAACUUAGCUCUAUCCUGUAGACAGUUGACCUGGUGACCUUGCAAGGAGAGUGGGUGAACCUGGACUAUCAAAAAAACCGAACAUCGGGGCUUGUCAAAUGGCACCUGGACACACAAGCCAAAACCUGGACUGUCUGGGUAAAAACCAGAUGAGUGGCAACCCUACUUGUAGCUGAAGAGACACAGCCCCACUCCAGUCUGACUGUAGAACCCCUGCUGCCAGAGGAAACUACCAGGGACAGAGGAAAUGCUCUACUCAGCACAAGGGGGAACUCUAAAGGACAACUGUCUAAUACCCUUCUGAGGACUUUUAUUCUUGAUUACUGAAGUCCAGCUGAUUCCAGUUUUUCACAGCUUUCAAGGAGCAAUCAGUGCCAUAGUGUCUGCUCCAGCCACAAAAUGAAGGAAAAGCGGUAGCUUUCUUGGUUUCCAGAUAGAGUAUUGUCAUUUAGGUCUAG